rnacentral:sRNA from 1 species
UGAAUGCCUCAACCUCCCUCAAAUAGCUCAAUGCAUACCCCUCCUGAAGCUGCAGCCUCUGUCAGAGAAAACAACUUUUCCAAAGAGAUGGGCACUAUUCUUUGCUUUAGGGUAUAACAGGGACUAAGAUUCACUAAGGAUAAACCUAUGAUUCUUAGCCAAGUGUAAAUGGUCCCCAAUCAACUUAAAACCAGUCGAUAAUUAAGCAAGGCUAGCUUACUGUUC